UUAUUACUGCAGUGGCUUGGGUUGCUGCUGUGGCAUAGGUUUGGGUUUGCUGCCUGGCUGGGAACUUCCAUGCCGUGGGCAUGGCCCCCCAGAAAAGAAUAAAGUGAAAUGGUGCCCAUCCUCUCAAUUCCCACCCCAGAGAAGGAAUUUAUGUUUCCUGUUCUGACAAUUCUAGGGUAUGUUGGUUUAGUGAUCCUGAUCUGUGAAGUAGCAUGCUCUUACCAGGGAACACAAGGAUCUCAUUGAAAUACAAGACAUGACUCCAUUUUGGGUUCUUUGUGCAUAAUAAUCAUCAGAUAAGAAGAGUCACUAUUUUUGGAGAAAUGAUUGCUUCUAAUAAACAGGAGGAGGUAGGGUUGCUUGUAUAUAAAAGAGGUAAAAUAAUAUAUAUGGGGUUUAAAGGAUCCAGUUGGACAUCUCUUGGUUCUCCCACACCAAUUGUAACCUCCCCUACCAAUUAUAAACCCAUAUCAGUUGUAAUUGUAACAACCCUGGCCUAGGAAGGGUAAAUUACCUAGGGCCCAGACCACUUAAGAAUGAGAGUUUGGGUCACACCACCUGGUGGACCCCAAGACCUGUAGAGGGGAUAGUUGAGAGAGGAAUUUAGAAUGGAUAGUGGAGGAGGGGGAAGAUGAGUACCUGUGUGGUCCUGAAACCAACUGAACCAAUGUGUGCUGUGGUUCACUCUGUUAACAUCUCUCUUCUAAGUUUCCCCUUAGGUAGAGGGGUCUACCAGAACCAUAAAGGAGCUUCUUCUGAACCUGUAUAGAUGUAUGUAUCUUUGUAGCGUAAGGGAUGGACUAUGGAAGCCAGUGAAGGUGCAUUGCUAAGAUCUCUAAAAGAGCCUACAGCAAAGAAGAUUUUUGGAUAGCAGUCUCCACCUGCCUUACCUUCCCAUCCUCAGCAGCAUUCAAACUGAGUCAUAUCCUUCCCAGGGAAGCUUCUAUCCAGUGACUGAGCAUGCUGGGGAGAUCACAACUACGUCAUUCCAUAAUCUCCUCAGGUUGUUUCAUAAGAGAGGAUGAGAAACAACAUGUAUCCAACAUUCUGAAGGAUGCCGUUAUGGUGUUGCCUAGAUCCCUUAAAAUCAGAAAAGCAGAACCAGAGGCAAGGACCAGGAUGUAUGUGAUUCAUUCAGAGAACAUUCUGCAGGAAGAACCAAUAAAGGAAACAGGAUAA
rnacentral:lncRNA from 1 species